AUCCCAAAAGUGAUUAAUUCCCAAAAUCCCACUCCUGCAUCCUUCGUCAUCCCCCUCCUUCCCCAAAAUCCCAGACCUCACCGCCGAUCUCUUCGCCGAUCUCCGCCAAAAAUCCCCAAAAUCCCCGAUCUCCGCGGAUCUCUUCGCCGUCCCAGACCUCACCGUCGGCGCCCUCGUCAUCCCCAAAAUCUCAGUCUUGGGUUUGAUCAAGAGGAUCAUCUCUCGGCAUCCUCAGGCUUUGAAGCAGGAAGAAUUACUGGAGCAUGUCAAACCCAACAAUUGAUUCAAAUAGUGCAGAAGAGGAGCUUGGAGGCAGAAUCAUCAUCAUCUGCAAACACCUGCAUUCACAUUGUACCUAUCAAUAGGAAGAUGAAGUUGCCUGUAAUCUCAAUGUAAUAAUGUUCGCAUCACACAUCCUCCGAAGAGCUGAUGCCUUUUAGCAAUGUAAAGCAAGAGAUAUGUUAUAUUAUUUGCAGCGAAAACAGGAAAGGUCAGAUAAGUUGAGAAGAAGUUAAGCACAUCUGUAGAAAAUUCAGCGAGAAAACAGUUAGGACUUGUAUGUGUAAAAGUAAAUAUGUAACCUUUUAAUUCAAUGAAAUUCUUUGGUGUUGCUCUUUGAUUCAAUGAGCUUCACUUUUGCCAA